AUCGGAGGAGCAGUGCCUGCCCAGCGCCCACCCAGGCUUCCCUUGUAGAACAAAGAAAAAAUUCUCACGUAGCUGGGCUCCCGUAUACGCGCGCCCGGCCGGCCUCCUCCACAGCCAGGGCAGGACUCGACCGCGCGGGGCCGGCCGGAACAAGAGACCUAUUUUGCAUCCAUGAUUAAUCUUUUCUGUGUUGAUUUAACUAUACAAUAAGCUCAAUAGAUGCUUUCCUGUCAAGUACCUGUAAAAAUAUAAAACGAUUUUUUUUCCAGAUAAAAAACACGGAGUACAAAUGAGCAUGGCUAUAUUUUAGGCGUCUGAUUUUUAAGGAAAAAACUUCAAAAUAGUCGCCGCAUCAGAACGUGUUGUCCUUGGUUAAGAUUCGAUGAUCAAACACGUCCACUGAUCUCUGACUAAACUAAAAAAAAGAUGACUUCUUAAUAGCAAAACCGAAAGUACUCUUCAUAAUUUUAUGGAACAAAUAUAGACCUAAAAUUAUUCUAGUUUCAGGUUGCUUCGAGUUGAAGAUGUACGCAAAAUCCUCAAAGCACUAGAGCCUUAGGGAAUAUCUACACUAGUAAGUUCUUUUCCUUUCUUCUGGACAUGCUUAGCAGUGUAGAUACUCCCUAAGGCUUCGGUCGUAUUGGAUUGUUGUGGACAUUUGAGAAUCGUUGCAUGCAAAAGUGCUAAGCAUGCCCAACCUCCCCAGUGCCUGACACCUCCACCGCUCGUGGCUGCCUCGCGAUUCGGACACAGCUGCCAUUUUCCCCCAGGAGAGCAGCAGGCCAGGGCAACGGGCCUCGGAAUGCUGAGGUCCAGUCGCCGACGGCCACGAGGUUCCUGUGGGCGCGGAGGGAUGCCUUCCUAGCCGCCCGCCGUCAUCUUCUUCCGGCAGGUGAACAGCGGCGGCACCACGUCAAUCGGCUCAGCAAAACAGGUUCUUCCCGCUGAGCUCGGAGUCAGGGGCCUGGUUCGGCCAUUGCUACAUACCCAGGCACUGCCUCGUGCUCCUGAUUGGCAACGGCCAGUGCCCCAUAGUCAAUAGUGGAAUCCCUUGAAUGUUGGUCAGUAAGCUGCUGCAGAUUUCUUGCAAAAAAAAAAAA
rnacentral:precursor_RNA from 1 species